rnacentral:rRNA from 1 species
CGCGUAGGUGGUAGUGUAAGUCUGAGGUGGAAUCCCAGGGCUUAACCCUGGAACUGCCUUGGAAACUGCAUUACUUGAGUCAGUGAGGGGAGGGUAGAAUUCCUGGUGUAGCGGUGAAAUGCGUAGAUAUCAGGAGGAAGGCCUGUGGCGAAGGCGGCCCUCCGGUGCUGGACUGACACUGAGGCGCGAAAGCGUGGGGAGCAAACAGGAUUAGAUACCCUGGUAGUCCACGCCCUAAACGGUGGGCACUAGGUGUAGGGCUCGUAAGGGUUCUGUGCCGAAGGGAAACCAUUAAGUGCCCCGCUGGGGAGUACGGCCGCAAGGUUGAA